rnacentral:rRNA from 1 species
UUUAAAGUCUGAUCUGCCCUAUGAGGAGUUAAAUGGCCGCAGUAUUUUGACUGUGCGAAGGUAGCAUAAUAAUUAGUUUUUUAAUUGAAAGCUGGAAUGAAUGAUUAGACGAGAAAAAAUCUGUCUCAAUUUUAUUUAAUUAGAAUUUUAUUUUUAAGUAAAAAAGCUUAAAUAUUUUUAAAAGACGAGAAGACCCUAUAGAGUUUUAUAUAUUUAUUUUUACAUUGAUAUAUGAUUAAUUGAUCCAUUUUUUAUGAUUAUAAGAUUAAAUUACCUUAGGGAUAACAGCGUUAUUUUUUUUUAGAGUUCUAAUCGAAAAAAAAGUUUGCGACCUCGAUGUUGGAUUAAAAUUAAUAUUUGGUGAAGAAGCUAAGUUAUUAGGUCUGUUCGACCUUUAAAAUUUUACA